rnacentral:rRNA from 1 species
GACGAACGCUGGCGGCGUGCUUAACACAUGCAAGUCGUACGGCAAGACCCUUCUUUUGUGGCGUGCUCGAGUGGCGAACGGAUGAGUACCACGUGAGUAACCUGCCCUUGACUUUGGGAUAACUUCAGGAAACUGGGCCUAAUACCUGCUAGGAGCUCCUGCUGCAUGGUGUGGGUUGGAAAUUUUCGGCGGUUGGGGAUGGACUCGCGGCUUAUCAGCUUGUUGGUGUGGUAGUGGCUUACCAAGGCUUUGACGGGUAGCCGUCGUGAGAGGGUGACCGGGCACAUGGGGACUGAGAUACGGCACAGACUACUACGGGAGGCAGCAGAGGGGAAUAGUGCACGAUGGAGGGAAGCCUGAUGCAGCAACGCCGCGUUCGGGGUGACGGCCUUCGGGUUGAAAACCGCUUUCGCCUGUGACGAUGCGUGAGUGACGGUAAUGGGUAAAGAAGCACCGGCUAACUACGUG